UCCAGACGGGUUGAAGAAAUCGCCCGAAAGGAACCACUUGGCAGAUUUUGUUUCCUCCCUUGAAAUCCCACUGGACGUGGAGCAGAGCAUUCACUUGAAGACGCCGGAGGACGAUUUGCAGAAGGAUAUAGUAUGAUUAAGAAAACUGGAGAGGAAGAGCACAAAGAAAAAGUUCUGGUUGCAAUCCUUUUCUACACGUGAAAGUAAUAUGCCUAACUUAACGUGUAGGGCUUUUCCAACAGAGAUGUUGAAGUUAAUUGCAGUAUGAAUCGGGGAAAAAAAUGCUCGUACCUUCUUAAUUGCAGCUUUCACCAACAUGUGGUAUGU